rnacentral:rRNA from 1 species
CAGAGUGAACGCUGGCGGCGUGCUUAACACAUGCAAGUCGAACGGUAACAGGGAGUAGCUUGCUACUUUGCUGACGAGUGGCGCACGGGUGAGUAAUAUAUAGUUAAUGUGCCUCGAAGACUGGGAUAGCCACUGGAAACGGUGAUUAAUACUAGAUACACCUAUUUAACAGAAGUUAAAUUGGGAAAUGUUUUUUCGCUUCGAGAUCAGACUAUAUCCUAUCAGUUAGUUGGUGAGGUAAAGGCUCACCAAGGCGAUGACGGGUAGCGGUUCUGAGAGGAUGAUCCGCCACACUGGUACUGAGACACGGACCAGACUCCUACGGGAGGCAGCAGUGAGGAAUAUUGCACAAUGGGGGGAACCCUGAUGCAGCAACGCCGCGUGGAGGAUGACGCAUUUCGGUGUGUAAACUCCUUUUAUAUGUCAAGAAAAUGACGGUAGCAUAUGAAUAAGCACCGGCUAACUCCGUGCCAGCAGCCGCGGUAAUACGGAGGGUGCAAGCGUUACUCGGAAUCACUGGGCGUAAAGGACGCGUAGGCUGGUUGGUAAGUCAGGUGUGAAAUCCUACAGCUCAACUGUAGAACUGCACUUGAAACUACCAAUCUAGAGUAUGGGAGAGGGAGAUGGAAUUAGUGGUGUAGGGGUAAAAUCCGUAGAUAUCACUAGGAAUACCUAAAGCGAAGGCGAUCUCCUGGAACAUUACUGACGCUAAGGCGUGAAAGCGUGGGGAGCAAACAGGAUUAGAUACCCUGGUAGUCCACGCCCUAAACGAUGAACACUAGUCGUCGCGAUGCUUGUCAUUGCGGUGAUGCACUUAACAGAUUAAGUGUUCCGCCUGGGGAGUACGGUCGCAAGAUUAAAACUCAAAGGAAUUGACGG